ensembl:lncRNA
UUCCUGUCUCUUGGGAUGCUUGCUCUUGGAACACAGCCACUGUGCGGAGAGGAAGCCAAAGGAGCUGGUGGGGACGAGGGGCCCACGUGGAGAGGAACCGACACUCUGAGCCCAUGACCCUGGCUGGACGCUCAGCACCAACGUGCCAGUCCCAGGAGUGAACCGAGCUGGAGCCCCGAGUCCAGCCACCCCAGCUGACAGCAUGUGGAGCAGAGACGAGCUGCCUGCUCAUGCUCUGCCCAGACAGCAGAUACACGAGCACAAGAUGUGCCUGUUGUUCUUUUAAGCCACUAAGUCAUAGGGUGGUUGAUUAUUGGGCAAGAGAAAGCUGGCGUACCUGGCAGUGGGGAGCAAGCCCGGCAAGUCCUCCCAGACAGUCACUUGUGCGUUCCUUAAAGCAACGCCCACCUCCACCAUCCCGGAGACUCCUUUCUCUGGAGACUCAGCUCAUCUCUCUGGAUGAAGAUGAUGAUCAGCAGGAAGUCUAUUCCCAGGAGCCCAUCCUCCCUCCCUUCUCAUUUCUCUUCUCCCUCAGCAUCCCCACGCCCCACCUGUUGUUUUCUCAUCCCUCCUUCCAGCAGACACCUUCUUCUCCGCCUCAGGUCUUGCAGCUCUGCAAAGGACUCCACCGCAGGCCUGGUGGAAAUCUCAGGGGGUGCUCUGUGCGUGUGCAUGCAUGUGAGUGUGCGUGUGUGCACGUGUGUAUGUGGAUGGGUGCGCGUGUGAGCGCGCCCGCGUGUGUAUGGGGUAAUGUGGCCUACAUUGCAGGCAGAUAGCGGGUAGUAGAGGAGCCAUCAUUUUGAUUGCUGAUGUUUUUGGUGGGUCAACUGGAAACCAACCACUCUUCUUUUAAGAUAUUUUAAAAUUAAAAUCAAACUUUUCUGAUUAUACCAUUCUGCAUUUUUCAAAUUUUCUGCAACGGACACGGAUUACUUUCAUAAUGAAGAAAAUAAAACUCACUUCCAGUUUCAACACUCAGAGUUGACCAGAAUUCACAUUCUGAAGUAGAAGUUCCAGGUGAAGCACCAUACACAUUUGGGAGGCUCCUGAUGUGGAGGACACAGUGACCCUUCUGAAACGUCAGCAUGGCCUCAGGAACCACGUCCUGACUGUCUGGGAGUCUCUCACUCUUAUUCCCAGGGAGACCAAGACGGGGAAAACAAGGGAAGAGAAGACCAGGUGAAGACGUGAGAAAGACAAGCAAGAGAUAAGGAUCAGCCACCACUCCUUUUACUCCUAAGGAAAUGGAGGCCCACGAAAGAUGAGAGCUACACGACUAAUGAGUGGUAGAGCAUGGAUUCUGGCCCGGGUCUGCGGGGCUCCCAGCCCAUGCCAGUGUGAACAGAAGGAAUUCCUCUGGAAAGGCAAUUGCAUAUCAGUCCCAGCUCUUCCUGGGGCAGAAAGCUGACACCUGCACUUAGAGAAGGAAGCCAUCCUGUGGGCAGAGGGCCGAGCAUUUCCCCUAAAGCCAUCUCCCUCUUCUUUCAAGCCAGGCUUAAAUAUCCAAACCGCAAAGGAAGAUGAAAGAAGCUUGUUGAUGAAGUCCUCCACCCUGGGAAGAGGAAGAUAAAAAAAAAGAGAAAGAAAGGGAAGACAAGAACAGAGGGAGGGGGGAGGAAACAAUCCUUGACAAAUAUUUUCUGUUAAUAAAUUCCAUUUUGC